AACGAACGCUGGCGGCAGGCCUAACACAUGCAAGUCGAACGUGAAGCCACCUUCGGGUGGUGGAGAGUGGCAGACGGGUGAGUAACGCGUGGGAACGUGCCUUUCGGUUCGGGAUAACCCAGGGAAACUUGGGCUACUACGGGAUACGCCCUCCGGGGGAAAGAUUCAUUGCCGAAAGAUCGGCCCGCGUCGGAUUAGCUAGUUGAUUGGUAAAAGCCUACCAAGGCGACGAUCCGUAGCUGGUCUGAGAGGAUGACCAGCCACACUGGGACUGAGACACGGCCCAGACUCCUACGGGAGGCAGCAGUGGGGAAUAUUGGACAAUGGGCGCAAGCCUGAUCCAGCCAUGCCGCGUGGGUGAAGAAGGCCCUAGGGUUGUAAACCCCUUUCAGCGGGGAAGAUAAUGACGGUACCCGCAGAAGAAGCCCCGGCUAACUCCGUGCCAGCCGCCGCAGUAA
rnacentral:rRNA from 1 species